UACAGAGGGGGCAAGCGUUGUUCGGAAUUACUGGGCGUAAAGGGCGCGUAGGCGGCCUUCUAAGUCGAACGUGAAAUCCCCGGGCUCAACCCGGGAACUGCGUCCGAUACUGGUGGGCUUGAAUCCGGGAGAGGGAUGCGGAAUUCCAGGUGUAGCGGUGAAAUGCGUAGAUAUCAGGAGGAACACCGAUGGCGAAGGCAGGUCUCUGGGCAUUAACUGACGCUGAGGAGCGAAAGCAUGGGGAGCGAACAGG
rnacentral:rRNA from 1 species